rnacentral:pre_miRNA from 1 species
AUGGAGCAACGUUUUACAAUUAGAAGUUGAUCACUGGUAUUAAACUAUGACCUUUUAAUACCAAUGAUCAACUUCUGAUUGUAAAUUGUUG